rnacentral:rRNA from 1 species
CGGGUGAGUAACACGUGAGCAACCUGCCUUAUACGACAGGGAUAACAGUUGGAAACGACUGCUAAUACCGGAUAAGACCGAACACUAGUGGCAUCAUAGAGGGGUCAAAGCGAAUAAGCGGUAUAAGAUGGGCUCGCGUCCAAGUUAGCUAGUUGGUGAGGUAACGGCCCACCAAGGCGACGAUUGGUAGCCGACUUGAGAGAGUGAUCGGCCACACUGGAACUGAGACACGGUCCAGACUCCUACGGGGAGGCAGCAGGUGGGGAAUAUUGGGCAAUGGAGGAAACUCUUACCCAAGCAAUGCCGCGUGAGUGAUGAAGGUCUUUGGAAUUGUAAAGCUCUUUGAUUGGGGACGAAUAAAUGACGGUACCCAAAGAACAAGCCCCGGCUAACUAUGUGCCAGCCGCCGC